rnacentral:tRNA from 1 species
GGGGUUGUAGCUCAGGGGUAGAGCGCUCGCUUUGCAAAGCCUUAAUUGCGAGAUGUCGCGUGUUCGAUUCGCGCCAGCUCCA